UACGUAGGGUGCAAGCGUUGUCCGGAAUUAUUGGGCGUAAAGAGCUCGUAGGCGGUUUGUCGCGUCGAAUGUGAAAACCCGCAGCUCAACUGUGGGCUUGCAGUCGAUACGGGCGGACUCGAGUUCGGCAGGGGAGACUGGAAUUCCUGGUGUAGCGGUGAAAUGCGCAGAUAUCAGGAGGAACACCGGUGGCGAAGGCGGGUCUCUGGGCCGAUACUGACGCUGAGGAGCGAAAGCGUGGGGAGCGAACAGG
rnacentral:rRNA from 1 species